CCUACGGGAGGCAGCAGUAGGGAAUCUUUCACAAUGGGCGAAAGCCUGAUGGAGCAACGCCGCGUGCAGGAUGAAGGCCUUCGGGUUGUAAACUGCUUUUAUAAGCGAGAAAUAUGAUGGUAACUAAUGAAUAAGGAUCGGCUAACUACGUGCCACCAGCCGCGGUCAUACGUAGAAUCAGAGCAUUAUCCGGAGCGACUGGGUGUAAAGAGUUGCGUAGGUGGGAUAAUAAGUAGCUAGGUAAAUCCGGUGGCUCAACCAUUCAGACUGUUAGCUAUACUGGUAAGCUCGAGGCCGUUAGGGGUGACUAGAAUUUCUGGUGUAGGAGUGAAAUGCGUAGAUAUUAGGAAGAACACCGGUAGCGUAGGCAGGUUACUGGGACGGUUCUGACGCUAAGGCGCGAAAGCGUAGGGAGCAAACGGGAUUAGAUACCCCAGUAGUC
rnacentral:rRNA from 1 species